GCGUUUAUUUUGGCAGCACAUAUGCUAAAAUGUAACAAUGCAGAGAAGAUUAGCAUGGCCCUUGUGCAAAGAUGACACACAAAUUUGUGUCAUAUUUAAGAUAAUA